AGCGAACGCUGGCGGCAGGCUUAACACAUGCAAGUCGAGCGGGCAUAGCAAUAUGUCAGCGGCAGACGGGUGAGUAACGCGUGGGAACGUACCUUUUGGUUCGGAACAACUGAGGGAAACUUCAGCUAAUACCGGAUAAGCCCUUACGGGGAAAGAUUUAUCGCCGAAAGAUCGGCCCGCGUCUGAUUAGCUAGUUGGUGAGGUAAUGGCUCACCAAGGCGACGAUCAGUAGCUGGUCUGAGAGGAUGAUCAGCCACAUUGGGACUGAGACACGGCCCAAACUCCUACGGGAGGCAGCAGUGGGGAAUAUUGGACAAUGGGCGCAAGCCUGAUCCAGCCAUGCCGCGUGAGUGAUGAAGGCCCUAGGGUUGUAAAGCUCUUUUGUGCGGGAAGAAAAUGACGGUACCGCAAGAAUAAGCCCCGGCUAACUUCGUG
rnacentral:rRNA from 1 species